CAAGCCUAGGAAAAAUGACAGAAAAUAAACAUUCCAAGAUAUUAGCAAGCUGGCGUGGCUUUCUCUUCUGCUUUACAUUAUUUUUUCCUUACUUUCCAAAUUUUAUGCGGUGAGAAUUUAUUACUUUCAUUACCAGGUGCAAAAAAUAGAAACAAACAAAAAACUCUGUCUGAUCUUUCAGACUAGUUCGAAUGUCUUCUUUUCUAGAACUGGGAUGACCAGGACAUUUGGGCGUGAAAGGGGCCCUACAAGCCUUAACAGAUACUAAAGAACGUCAGACAAGCAGAAUGAGGAUGGCCCCAGGCAAGGUGGACCCCACCCCAGCUGCAGGGAACAGCAAGGCUGCAGGUACCUGCUCAUUUCCAGCUCCCAGCCUCCCUCAGAACACAGACUGCCUUGCCAUUUUCUUAGCGAGCGGUUUGCAGCAAAGUGCUAUUUUGCUCUCGAACGCCUUCCUUUCCAAUUGGGACAAACGGCUAUGAAUACGGCACACCCUGUUUUGCAUUCAAACUGUUGGGAAAGUUUUGCGGCUCCGGCAGGCAAUGUGGAGCUGAUUGCUUUGCCUCUGUCCUGACCCAUGUGCCCCAUCGGGAGAGGAACAAGACGACAGUGACUUGCCAGGGGCACAGGCACAUGGAUGGGGAGCAGGUCUAAAUGGGGGAGGGGGCACGUGCAGGGGGGGCUUUCCUGAGAUAGGGCUUCUCUUUGGUGUUUUCCCUGCACAAUCUUCCAAUGAUGUAUAGAGUUUACCCUCAACGCUCAGAGGCUGACAUUUGACAUAGAGGGAAACUGAGGCACAAUGGAGGUCUCCAGAAGAUUCUGUCCCCACACACUGUUCUCUUUCCAUCGUCUGCUCUGGGUCAGAUCCUGGGAAGUGGUGUUUUUCCUC
rnacentral:lncRNA from 1 species